GAGCAGUGGAAGCUCGUCGGGCUCAUAACCCGAAGGCCGUUGGUUCGAAUCCAAC
rnacentral:tRNA from 1 species